rnacentral:lncRNA from 1 species
CCUUUUUUCAUUGCUGGUAUUCCUUUCAAAAACAGUUUGCUAUUACUGAAGUGUCCAGAGUCAGCAAAAUCUUUUAUUUCUGCCAGAUAAACAAGCUUUCUCUUGCCCUUCUGUGUCUUUCCUGUUUGUUUGUCACGCACUUCCUCCUCCCGUCUGAUUUCUCGACUCUCUCCCUUUAGUUCCACACGUUGAUUCACUGUCGGAGGUUGUGCUAAGUCGAGCAGAGCAGGUUCGGUUAUGGGAAAAGUCCUUGGCAAAGCCGGAACAACUUGUUUGUUUUUGCCUCCCUGUUCUGCAUUUUUGGUACAGACGUCUCUGAGGGAGCUGGGAUUAUACAGUUUCCUAUGGGCGGCUCCAACUAUUUGUGGUUUGCAACACGCUUCUGCAAAGGCUGUUGUGGCUGCUUAG